rnacentral:rRNA from 1 species
GACGAACGCUGGCGGCGUGCUUAACACAUGCAAGUCGAACGGAAAGGCCCUGCUUUUGUGGGGUGCUCGAGUGGCGAACGGGUGAGUAACACGUGAGUAACCUGCCCUUGACUUUGGGAUAACUUCAGGAAACUGGGGCUAAUACCGGAUAGGAGCUCCUGCUGCAUGGUGGGGGUUGGAAAGUUUCGGCGGUUGGGGAUGGACUCGCGGCUUAUCAGCUUGUUGGUGGGGUAGUGGCUUACCAAGGCUUUGACGGGUAGCCGGCCUGAGAGGGUGACCGGCCACAUUGGGACUGAGUUACGGCCCAGCCCCCUCCGGGAGGCAGCGGGGGGGAAUAUUGCCCAAUGGGCGGACGCUUGAUCCAGCAACCCCGCGUGCGGGAUGACGGCCUUCGGGUUUGAAACCGCUUUCCCCUGUGACGAAGCUUGAGUGACGGUAAUGGGUAAAGAAGCCCCGGCUAACUACGU